rnacentral:lncRNA from 1 species
AAGUGGAGAGAGGCCCAUUGGCCUCUCUGAGCCCACUGUGCCUCAAAAGCCCUCUUGGAGAGUCAACUAUGGACUCUCCAUCAUGAGCGUUUGAUCGGUUGAUUGGAGAGUCAACUAGAUCAAAUCUCGAGUGUAAGAUGAGAUGAUUAUGUAAGUAUGUUAAUCGUAGGGACGGUGUGCAAAGUCAAGUGGUGGAGCACGGUGGACCUGGGCGCGUCAGAUAAGUCAAAGGUCA